CAAAUGUCAUAAAGGCAAUGAGUGCGUCGCCCCGCUGACCAUGUUGCAUCAUCGUCAUCGAUGCUUGCCUUUGGCUACAGAACGGGAAAGGCGAUGUACUCGAGCCUCCUCCGACGGCCAUGUAACGGCAGACAAAUGCUCCUGCUCACUUUUCCAGCAGCGAAACUCCUUCUUGGCUCGCUCCUCCUCGCCCUGGUGGCGCUACCCGGCUGGAGACCGCGGCUUCCGCGUCUGCUCGCAGAAGAAACGUACGUGUGGCGAAGCCGGAGACCAAGCGCCCGCGCCCGACCGCUCUUUGGGCACACGCAUCCGCGCGAUACGUCGGCGAGGCUGUAGGCCGUUUGCGAGGUUGCCGCCUUCUUGAGGUGCGGCCGCUGCAAGGCCGUACGCUAUCUGUAAGAAAUCGGGGAUUCACUUCCAUCGCAACUUCUUCUUCUUUGGUUUCACUGACCUCAUCUCGAUUUUUGUUUUCUCUUUUUGGUAGCUUUUGAUUCUUGAUGUUUAAUCAAUGCAUAUAUAAUUGCUUCUCCUUAUAAAUAUAUCGAGUAUUUUUCUAUCAGCUUAAGCUUUUUUGUGGUUACCUAAAUCAAAUCUUUAUCAUUCUAAUUUGGUAAAAGUUGAUGCUUAUGCUAGUUUUCUGUUUGAAACUGAUGCUUACUGAAAUCUAAUUAGGCACUGUAGUCACUGUAGAUAAUUUCUAGUAGAAACUGUGUGCUCGCGGCAUGUAUAUCUCUUUGUAUUCAAGUAGGUGAGAUCCUGAAAAGGGUUUAAAAGGAUUUAUGAAGAAGGGCUGAAUGCGCAAGUUCUUUUCCUUUUUCAAGAUAAGAUUACAUAAUCUCUAACAGAGAUGAAUUAUAUAAAAGAUUCAUUGGCAGCAUUUAUUAGAAUGAGACUUUAAAAUGUUCUUGUGAAAAGUAUAAACACCAUCAAGACCAGUCCGAUGGAAGCACCUACAAUUUGGUACACUGGGGGUUGAUGUCACCUGUGGGACUUGUCGCCAAGGCAAUCAUCAUGUUCUUAGUCAUUUGAUUGAGAUACAGGAGCCGCAGCUUUGUUUGUUACAUUUUUCAAAAAGCUUCUGUGCUAAAUUGAUAUGUGUAGGUCCUUCCUGAGUGCUCAUAAGUCUAUUUAUAACAUUAACUGAGUAUUUCCUUUUUAUUUACAUUCUUGGAUAUCCCAAACAUUGUCACAAUUGAUCUAACAGGUUUUCCAUCAUCUUCAUUUACGCGAAACAAUGCUCAUGUCUGCUAUGAAGCAUAGUGUAAUGAUUUCUUGAAUAUUGCAGCUAUGAGAAAUCUCACAUUAUUCACUGGAGAUUAGGCCAUGAAGUGGCCCAUGCCCCAUUAAGUCUGUCCAACUUGAAUGUCUUUUUGUGUAUCCUUAUGAUUUGUUUGUUAAUAGUUUAUAAUUCAGAAAUGCAUUACGUCUUUAGGAAUUCUAGUAGUCUUUUUAUGUUUUUGAAAGUCUUAUCCAGUGACUGCUGCAACCACUUCAAGGACGAUAAACUUAUAGUAGUAAAGAUGUGUAGAGAAGUUGUAUCUUAUAUUUGGGUAAAGAAAUAGAAAUAAUGUACAUAAACAUGUCUUCAUGAAUAUUAAGUGCCCAUUUUUUUCACAAAGGGGGAAACACAACGUGAAAGCUUUCGGUAGGAUCCAUGGAUCUUGACUUCAGCAUGUGUUUUGGUUAUCUGAAAGUCAUGGACGUGACAUUACCAGAAAUCAAAUCAAAUAAGAGACGGUCAGUUUUCACUAUCCUACAAAUUACUUCAGAACUCUCUCCAUAUAAGUUCAUCUUUUUCAAAUUUAAAGCUUUCCAAAAGUCAGUUUCCAAGUUCCAGCCAAAUCCGGUGAACCACGCACCAACUUGGGCCACUUUCGCCAUAAUUGACACAAAUAUAAAUGAUUGUUUAUCCGCUUUGGACUUUUUUGCCUCUUAUGCUUUCUUAUUUUAAUGUACUGUUAAAUCUGGAGUUAUGUAAUCACCGUAAAUUCCCUUUUUGGGAACUAUGGGAAUAUAUUGGCUGGUGCAUUAUAACCCCUCUUUUGGGAACUAUGUCAUCUUGUAAGAAUUACAACUUUUUUGUUCUUAGGUGUUGUCUAGUCAUCAACAACCAUACCAGAAAGGAGAGUGCAAUCCAAAUUGGAUCAUCAAGCUGGGUUCUUCCAUGGCUCUAGUUACAUUCAAAACAAAGGCAGAGAGACUGUACAAGAAUCUGGAUAAGAUGGAGGCUUCUUUGUCUGCUAACAUAUCUGAGCAGCAGGGACAGUACUAAUUUACAGUUCCUAAGUUGCUGUUCAUUCUAAGCCAUCUCUGGAGGCAGUUUGAUGCUGCAAGAACCUACACAAGGCUGACUGAAGACGUGAAGCCUGAGAAGCUUCUGGCUAUAAGGGCAAAGCUAACACAACAGCUGAUAGGGAUGCCCUUUCUUCCGAGGUGCCCUUCUCUUUUUCUUAUGUCAACAUUUUUGGUAACUCCCAACGAUCCGUCAGCAAAUCCUGAGUUAGUGCCUAUGUGGUUGUGCUCUCAAGGUCAGAGAUCAACAUGUUGGCUGAAAGCCUCCACACCCUGAUUACUUGCAUGGACUAGGAAACUGAAACUGAUGACUGGAAAAAUACAAUGGAUCUCAUAUAUAUACAUGAUCGAGGGAGCAUUUAUUUAUAGUGGAUAUAUGGUUUCUUUUCCUGUGGGUGUUAGAGAGCAUUGAUCAAUAAUGGUUGUUUGAGGCUGCUGGUUCUUUGUGCCUUUUUAACUCAAAUAAAGAUCAUAUUGUGUGACA